rnacentral:tRNA from 1 species
GGUGAUAUAGCUCAGUUGGUAGAGUGCUUGCCUCACAUGCACAGAGUCCUGGGUUCAAUCCCCAGCACAACA